AAAGAAAUGGCUAGAGCUAUCCAACCUAAUUACCUAGGCUAUCUGCUGCUUCAUGGAAGCUAAAAGAUUCUGUGUAGCUUGCCCUGCAUGUUUAACAUAAAGAGAUAGACAAAUUAUUCUCCCCUCAAUAGAAAUGUGAACUAAAAGAAUAAGUGCAUCGGCACCGGUAGCUACUAAGCUGCUCCUUUUUUCACUAUACUCUAUCGUAUUUUAACUUUAGGAUCUUGUUUAA